AUGUCUUGGGCUUCACGCAUGCUACAAUGGCCGGUACAAAGGGCUGCAAUACCGCGAGGUGGAGCGAAUCCCAAAAAGCCGGUCCCAGUUCGGAUUGAGGUCUGCAACUCGACCUCAUGAAGUCGGAGUCGCUAGUAAUCGCAGAUCAGCAACGCUGCGGUGAAUACGUUCCCGGGUCUUGUACACACCGCCCGUCAAGUCAUGAAAGUCGGUAACACCUGAAGCCGGUGGCCUAACCCUUGUGGAGGGAGCCGUCGAAGGUGGGAUCGGUAAUUAGGACUAAGUCGUAA
rnacentral:rRNA from 1 species